rnacentral:rRNA from 1 species
UACGUAGGGGGGCAAGCGUUGUCCGGAAUCAUUGGGCGUAAAGCGCGUGUAGGCGGCUCGGUAAGUCUGCUGUGAAAGUCCAGGGCUCAACCCUGGGAUGCCGGUGGAUACUGUCGAGCUCGAGUCCGGAAGAGGCGAGUGGAAUUCCUGGUGUAGCGGUGAAAUGCGCAGAUAUCAGGAGGAACACCAAUGGCGAAGGCAGCUCGCUGGGACGUGACUGACGCUGAGACGCGAAAGCGUGGGGAGCAAAC